GCUCCGCCCUCCCACUUAAUAUUAUUUUGAAUGAAUAAAUGAAGUCUUUGAUUGUGAAUUAGAAACCGUAAAUCAGAGGUUGGCAAAUCUUACCCAUAGAGUGCUACACUUGCAGUGAUUCUGUGGGACAUUUUCCAGAAUGAGCUGGGCCUUGUGUGCAUUAUACACUUGAUAAGCUUCAUCUCUAUGUUUCAGAUUAUUUCCAAAUCUGUCUAGGUUACUUUACGGCUUCAAACUGCACUUUGAUCAUCUGGGUUGAACUGUGUCUCCCCAAGAAAGAUACAGUGGAGUCCUAACCCCUCGUUCCUCAGGAUGUGACCUUAUUUGAAGACACGGUCUUUCCAGAGCACUUUCGGUGGGUACAGGAUGAACAAGUGUUCCUUCAAGCAGUAAUGAAUGAUGGAAUUCAUAUAUAUUCACAGGUGCACAAAACCAAUCAGUGAGAUCAUACGUGUUAAUGGCUGUAGAAAAGUGGAAAGGAGCAUGAAAAUGCACUUCUAUUGUAAAAGUUAAAAUGGCGAUUGUCCAGUAACUUCAGGAUUACAUUUGUCAUGGGGCAAGGGAUGUGCGAUGAAGACAGAAAACCAGUCUGAAAUGGCUCCAGUUCUGCUGGCAUGUACGUGUGUUCUGGGUGGUAGCUGACAAGCCAGAAAUGGCAUACAUCAAGUUUGUGCUUUCCCUCGGUUGUGCUACAAUCAUUAAUUUUGUCAAAAUAGCAGAAAAUAUCAUCAGAAAGACGUACUAGUCCUAGGAAAGUGAGGGAAAAAAACAUUCUUUGCCACUUGCUGCCUCCAUGCUUUAUCCUCUAAUAUGUUCUGCCUUUGGGCUCUAUGUGUGGGAUAAUCUUGGAUGAAUGUUUUCCUGCUAUAUAAGAUUCUCUGAAGUCCUGGUAACUUUCCAUGAUUUUUUUUUUUUCCUUUAUGGACUAUUAUGUGAUGUGACAUUGGUCACAUCAUGUAGACAAAUAGAUUGAUGUGAAAAAUACCAGGAUUAUGUAUCCUGAACCCAGAUGGAAUCCAGUAAAGUUCUUCCUUAAUAAUAUAUGACUAUUGUUCUUGUUUUAACCUAUAUGCAUAUUAACCCUUGUAUUAGCCUCCCAGGGCUGCUGUGACAAAUUAACACAACCUGGGUGGAUUUUUUAAAGAAACAUUUAUUCUCUCACAGUUCUCAAAUCAAGCCGUCAAAAGGACCACAUGCCCUCUGAAGGCUGUAGUGCCUCACCUCUUCCAAAUUCUGGUGUCUCCUGGCAUUCCUUGGCUUGUGGCAGCAUCAUUCCAUCUCUGCCUCCAUCUUCACAUGGCCUUUCCUCUGUGUCUCUGUGUCCUUUUCUGUCUCAUACAAGGACUUUGUCAUUGGAGUUAGGGUCCACCCUAAUCCAGUAUGAUCUCAUCUUGAUCCUUUAAUUACAUCUACAAAGCCCUAUUUCCAAAUAAGAUCACAUUCUGUGGUUCCAGGUGGACAUGGAUUUGGGGUGACACUAUUCAAGCCACUACAAUCCUAUUUUGAAGCUGGAAUAGAAUCAAAAAGGUUUCUGAUUCAUAUUAAAACAAAUUAUCUUGCCAAAAUACUCUAUAAAAGCGUAUGGUAACAUUGAGUCCUACAGCUGUUUCCAGUAAAAACGACCAAACCCUCCAUGACAAGGCAGCUGUUUGGUGGCAUCUGAAGUGUGAUGUCCAUACUGCUCUGCUUUGGUCAGAUGGUUUUCCAUCUGGUUGACUGAGCCCUCUCACCUUGU